CGUAGGGUGCAAGCGUUGUCCGGAAUUAUUGGGCGUAAAGAGCUCGUAGGCGGUUUGUCGCGUCUGGUGUGAAAACUCAAGGCUCAACCUUGAGCUUGCAUCGGGUACGGGCAGACUAGAGUGUGGUAGGGGUGACUGGAAUUCCUGGUGUAGCGGUGGAAUGCGCAGAUAUCAGGAGGAACACCGAUGGCGAAGGCAGGUCACUGGGCCACUACUGACGCUGAGGAGCGAAAGCAUGGGGAGCGAACAGGAUUAGAUACCCUGGUAGUCCAUGCCGUAAACGUUGGGCACUAGGUGUGGGGCUCAUUCCACGAGUUCCGCGCCGCAGCUAACGCAUUAAGUGCCCCGCCUGGGGAGUACGGCCGCAAGGCUA
rnacentral:rRNA from 1 species